rnacentral:lncRNA from 1 species
UGACCUUUGACCUUUACCUCAUUUUAAUUUUUUUGGACCAAGGACCUCAAAUCUGAAGACCCUAGGUCUCUAUCACUUAUGGUUUACUAGUUAUAAAUGCAUAUCACUUGAAUCAAAUGAAAAAGGGGGAAUAACUCUCAUAUGGAGUCUCUGUAAAGCUUCGGUCCAAAUGAAUAUCCUUAUCCUGAAGAUGUAAUGAGCAAUUUGGUAAAAUAAAUUUGUCGUUAUCUUUUACGGUUGCGAAAGAGUAGUGGCCACAAGAAAAACAGUGUUAGGGGAGAUAACUCUUACAACGUAAAGUAUUUUAUUUUGUCGUUGUAAAUUUUUAAAGCGUAUAAACUAUAUGAUAUCAUAUUUCAAAUAUCUAAGCGACAUCUUUUGAAACUCCAAUACUACGCAAGAAAAAAAAUUAGGCGGAAGAAAAAAAAAAAAAAAAAUAAUAAUAAUCAGAACAAAUACAAUAGGUCUUUCCACGGAAAGGUGGAAAGACCUAAUAAUAAUCAGAACAAAUUCAAUAGGUCUUUCCACGGAAAGGUGGAAAGACCUAAUAAUCAGAACAAAUUCAAUAGGUCUUUCCACGGAAAGGUGGAAAGACCUAAUUACAAUAAAAAUA